rnacentral:rRNA from 1 species
AACGAACGCUGGCGGUAUGCCUAAUACAUGCAAGUCGUACGCGAAAGCCCGCAAGGGUUAGUAGAGUGGCGCACGGGUGAGUAACACGUAGGUGACCUUCCCUUUUGAGUGGGAUAACCCGAAGAAAUUCGGGCUAAUACCACAUAAGUUCCACUGGGUUGAAUUCUGGUGGAAGAAAUGAUUGACCUCUACUUGUAAGCAAUCGCUGAAGGAUGGGCCUGCGGGACAUUAGCUAGUUGGUGGGGUAACGGCCUACCAAGGCGACGAUGUCUAGCCGGUUUGAGAGGAUGAUCAGCCACACUGGAACUGAGACACGGUCCAGACUCCUACGGGAGGCAGCAGUAGGGAAUAUUGCGCAAUGGGCGAAAGCCUGACGCAGCAAUACCGCGUGAGUGAGGAAGGUCUUCGGAUUGUAAAGCUCUGUCGGGAUGGAAAAAUGGCGUAGGAUCUAAUAGGUCUUACGAUUGAUGGUACAUCCAAAGGAAGCACAGGCUAACUUCGUGCCAGCAG